GUGCCAGCAGCCGCGGUAAUACGAAGGGGGCUAGCGUUGUUCGGAAUCACUGGGCGUAAAGCGUAUGUAGGCGGAUUGUUAAGUCAGGGGUGAAAUCCCGAGGCUCAACCUCGGAACUGCCUUUGAUACUGGCUAUCUUGAGUCCGGGAGAGGUGAGUGGAACUCCUAGUGUAGAGGUGAAAUUCGUAGAUAUUAGGAAGAACACCAGUGGCGAAGGCGGCUCACUGGCCCGGAACUGACGCUGAAAUACGAAAGCGUGGGGAGCAAACAGGAUUAGAUACCCCGGUAGUCC
rnacentral:rRNA from 1 species